rnacentral:rRNA from 1 species
CCUACGGGGGGCAGCAGUGAGGAAUAUUGGUCAAUGGGCUUACGCCUGAACCAGCCAAGUCGCGUGAGGGAAGACUGCCCUAUGGGUUGUAAACCUCUUUUGUCAGGGAGCAACGCCGGCUACGUGUAGCCGGACUGAGAGUACCUGAAGAAAAAGCAUCGGCUAACUCCGUGCCAGCAGCCGCGGUAAUACGGAGGAUGCGAGCGUUAUCCGGAUUUAUUGGGUUUAAAGGGUGCGUAGGCGGAAUGCCAAGUCAGCGGUAAAAUCGCGGGGCUCAACCUCGCUCCGCCGUUGAAACUGGCGGUCUUGAGUGGGCGAGAAGUAUGCGGAAUGCGUGGUGUAGCGGUGAAAUGAAUAGAUAUCACGCAGAACUCCGAUUGCGAAGGCAGCAUACCGGCGCCCAACUGACGCUGAAGCACGAAAGCGUGGGUAUCGAACAGGAUUAGAUACCCCAGUAGUC